rnacentral:rRNA from 1 species
GACGAACGCUGGCGGUGUGCUUAACACAUGCAAGUCGAACGGCAAGGUCCUGCUUUCGUGGUGUGCCCGAGUGGCGAACGGGCGCGUAACACGAGAGUAUCCUCCCCUUGACUCUGGGAUAACUUCAGGCCACUGGGGCACAUACCGGUUCGGCGCACCCGCUACCUUGUGGGGGUUGGGAAGUUUCGGUGGUUGUGGAUGGGCUCGCGGCUUAUCAGCUAGUUGGUGGGGUAGUGGCUUACCACGGCCUUGACGGGUAGCCGGCCUGAGAGGGUGACCGGGAACAUUGGGACUGAGAUACGGCCCGGAGUCCUGCGGGAGGCAGCAGUGGGGGAUAGUGCACGAUGGGGCGAAGCCUGAUGAAGCAACGCCGCGUGCGGGAUGACGGCCUUCGGGUUGUAGACCGCUUUCGCCUGUGACGGAGCGUGAGUGACGGUAAUGGAUAAAGAAGCACCGGCUAACUACGUG